rnacentral:lncRNA from 1 species
UUUCUUAUAACAUAGCCCUUUAUUGUGAUAUUCCCCUCCUCUUGGAAACCUGCGUUCCCUGCAGAUAGAUUCAUCCAGAGUAUUGUAAAGAAAUCACACAAAGCCUGUCACUGGAGAGUCCUGCCACGCUCUGUGAAGCUCUGACAUGGCCAGCUUCCUGCAGACAGUUGAUCCUGCCCCAACAAAGGGUGAGCUUGCUGGGUGGCACCCACGACAGCAGAGCCAGGGGCAGAGCUGCCGGUGAGUGGUCAGUCUCUGGGAGAGAGAGUCAAGUCUCAACUCCAGUGUGGAACAGACCUUGGUCACAGUCCAAAUGGGGAUGGACUGGAAAUCCCACGGAGGCUGCUAUCUCAAGGACUCUUGCCACCCAUAACCAGAGGCCAAGGCCAAAAGCAAGCAGAAAGAAGCAGGGUGGGGAGAGUCAUGUCUGAAGCUACUGGAGUGGACUUUCAGUCUCUUCUGCUAAGACAUUCAACUUAGGCCAUGCACAAGUGGCUAUUCCCUACUUGGAUAGGGAAGUCCUUCAUAUAAUUCAUACACCUUAGCAAUCUAUAGCACACAUGGUGACCAAUGAGGACCCAAGUGACAGGAGCUGGCC